rnacentral:rRNA from 1 species
CACUAUCGUUAACUGAAUACAUAGGUUAACGAGGCGAACCGGGGGAACUGAAACAUCUAAGUACCCCGAGGAAAAGAAAUCAACCGAGAUUCCCCCAGUAGCGGCGAGCGAACGGGGAGCAGCCCGGAGUCUGAAUCAGCUUGUGUGUUAGUGGAACGGUCUGGAAAGUCCGACGGUACAGGGUGAUAGUCCCGUACACGAAAAUGCACAUGCUGUGAACUCGAAGAGUAGGGCGGGACACGUGGUAUCCUGUCUGAAUAUGGGGGGACCAUCCUCCAAGGCUAAAUACUCCUGACUGACCGAUAGUGAACCAGUACCGUGAGGGAAAGGCGAAAAGAACCCCGGCGAGGGGAGUGAAAAAGAACCUGAAACCGUGUACGUACAAGCAGUAGGAGCCCCACCACCAAAGCGUUUCGCUUUGCGUGGUGCGCAAAAUGCGUAACGACAGCAUGAUGGACGGUUAACGGAGCGUCAGCGACGUUCAACGUCAAAAAUCAGGCAGUGGAGCGUUUUGGGGUGGGGUGACUGCGUACCUUUUGUAUAAUGGGUCAGCGACUUAUAUUCUGUAGCAAGGUUAACCGUAUAGGGGAGCCGAAGGGAAACCGAGUCUUAACUGGGCGUUAAGUUGCAGGGUAUAGACCCGAAACCCGGUGAUCUAGCCAUGGGCAGGUUGAAGGUUGGGUAACACUAACUGGAGGACCGAACCGACUAAUGUUGAAAAAUUAGCGGAUGACUUGUGGCUGGGGGUGAAAGGCCAAUCAAACCGGGAGAUAGCUGGUUCUCCCCGAAAGCUAUUUAGGUAGCGCCUCGUGAACUCAUCUUCGGGGGUAGAGCACUGUUUCGGCUAGGGGGCCAUCCCGGCUUACCAACCCGAUGCAAACUACGAAUACCGAAGAAUGUUAUCACGGGAGACACACGGCGGGUGCUAACGUCCGUCGUGAAGAGGGAAACAACCCAGACCGCCAGCUAAGGUCCCAAAGUCAUGGUUAAGUGGGAAACGAUGUGGGAAGGCACAGACAGCCAGGAUGUUGGCUUAGAAGCAGCCAUCAUUUAAAGAAAGCGUAAUAGCUCACUGGUCGAGUCGGCCUGCGCGGAAGAUGUAACGGGGCUAAACCAUGCACCGAAGCUGCGGCAGCGACACUAUGUGUUGUUGGGUAGGGGAGCGUUCUGUAAGCCGUUGAAGGUGGCCUGUGAGGGUUGCUGGAGGUAUCAGAAGUGCGAAUGCUGACAUAAGUAACGAUAAAGCGGGUGAAAAGCCCGCUCGCCGGAAGACCAAGGGUUCCUGUCCAACGUUAAUCGGGGCAGGGUGAGUCGACCCCUAAGGCGAGGCCGAAAGGCGUAGUCGAUGGGAAACAGGUUAAUAUUCCUGUACUUGGUGUUACUGCGAAGGGGGGACGGAGAAGGCUAUGUUGGCCGGGCGACGGUUGUCCCGGUUUAAGCAUGUAGGCGGAUGUUCCAGGUAAAUCCGGAGCGUCACUAACGCUGAGGUGUGAUGACGAGGCACUACGGUGCUGAAGUGACAAAUGCCCUGCUUCCAGGAAAAGCCUCUAAGCAUCAGGUAACAUCAAAUCGUACCCCAAACCGACACAGGUGGUCAGGUAGAGAAUACCAAGGCGCUUGAGAGAACUCGGGUGAAGGAACUAGGCAAAAUGGUGCCGUAACUUC